AUUGAACGCUGGCGGUAUGCUUAACACAUGCAAGUCGAACGGUAGCAGGCCUUCGGGCGCUGACGAGUGGCGGACGGGUGAGUAACGCGUAGGAAUCUGCCUCAUAGUGGGGGACAACGUGUGGAAACGCACGCUAAUACCGCAUACGCCCUACGGGGGAAAGCGGGGGACCUUCGGGCCUCGCGCUAUGAGAUGAGCCUGCGUUAGAUUAGCUAGUUGGUAGGGUAAAGGCCUACCAAGGCGACGAUCUAUAGCUGGUCUGAGAGGACGAUCAGCCACACUGGGACGGAGACACGGCCCAGACUCCUACGGGAGGUAGCAGUGGGGAAUAUUGGACAGUGGGCGCAAGCCUGAUCCAGCAAUACCGCGUGUGUGAAGAAGGCCCUAGGGUUGUAAAGCACUUUCAAUAGGGAGGAAAACCUGUCGGUCAAUACCCGGCAGCUUGACAUUACCUAUACAAGAAGCACCGGCUAACUCCGUGCCAGCCGCCGCCGUAAGAC
rnacentral:rRNA from 1 species